rnacentral:rRNA from 1 species
GACGAACGCUGGCGGCGUGCUUUACACAUGCAAGUCGAACGGAAAGGGCCUUCCUUGUGGGGGUGCUCGGGGGACGAACGGGUAAGUAACCCGAACGUAUCCUGCCGUGGAGGUUGAGGUAACGAAAGCAAACUGGGGCCCAUACGGGAUCGGAGCUCCUGAGCCAUGGUGGGGGUUGGAAAGUUUCGGCGGUCGGGGAUGGACGCGCGGCUUAUGAGCUUGUUGGUGGGGUAGUGGAUUACCAAGCCUUGGACGGGUCGCCGGCCUGAGAGGGUGACCGGCCACAUUGGGACUGAGAGACGGCGCAGACGCCUACGGGAGGCAGCAGUGGGGAAUAUUGCACAAUGGGCGGAAGCCUGAUGCAGCGACGCCGCGUGCGGGAUGAGGGCCUGCGGGGUGUAAACCGCUGUCGCCUGUGACGAAGCGUGAGUGACGGUAAUUGGUAAAGAAGCACCGGCUAACUACGUG